rnacentral:rRNA from 1 species
AGCAGCCGCGGUAAUUCCAGCUCCAAUAGCGUAUAUUAAAGUUGUUGCAGUUAAAAAGCUCGUAGUUGAAUUUCGGGAUCAACACGUCGGUCGUGCCUUCGGUACGCACUAGCGUCGUUGGUUCCUCCCUUCUGACGAACCAUGAUGUCAUUAACUUGGUGUUUUGGGGAGUUAGGACUGUUACUUUGAAAAAAUUAGAGUGUUUAAAGCAGGCAAUCGCUUGAAUACAUUAGCAUGGAAUAAUGAAAUAGGACGUUCGAUCCUAUUUCGUUGGUUUCUAGGAUCAACGUAAUGAUUAAUAGGGAUAGUUGGGGGCAUUAGUAUUCAAUUGUCAGAGGUGAAAUUCUUGGAUUUAUUGAAGACUAACUACUGCGAAAGCAUUUGCCAAGGAUGUUUUCAUUAAUCAAGAACGAAAGUUAGGGGAUCGAAGACGAUCAGAUACCGUCGUAGUCUUAACCAUAAACUAUGCCGACUAGGGAUCGGAUGAUGUAAUUUUUAAUGACUCAUUCGGCGCCUUACG